rnacentral:rRNA from 1 species
UAUUGCACAAUGGGGGAAACCCUGAUGCAGCGACGCCGCGUGAGUGAAGAAGUAUUUCGGUAUGUAAAGCUCUAUCAGCAGGGAAGAAAAAAGACGGUACCUGACUAAGAAGCCCCGGCUAACUACGUGCCAGCAGCCGCGGUAAUACGUAGGGGGCAAGCGUUAUCCGGAUUUACUGGGUGUAAAGGGAGCGUAGACGGUUAUGCAAGUCUGAAGUGAAAGCCCAAGGCUCAACCAUGGGACUGCUUUGGAAACUGUAAAACUGGAGUGCAGGAGAGGUAAGCGGAAUUCCUAGUGUAGCGGUGAAAUGCGUAGAUAUUAGGAGGAACACCAGUGGCGAAGGCGGCUUACUGGACUGUAACUGACGUUGAGGCUCGAAGGCGUGGGGAGCAAACAGG